GACGAACGCUGGCGGCGUGCUUAACACAUGCAAGUCGAACGGAAAGGCCCUGCUUUUGUGGGGUGCUCGAGUGGCGAACGGGUGAGUAACACGCGAGUAACCUGCCCUUGACUUUGGGAUAACUUCAGGAAACUGGGGCUAAUACCGGAUAGGAGCUCCUGCUGCAUGGUGGGGGUUGGAAAGUUUCGGCGGUUGGGGAUGGACUCGCGGCUUAUCAGCUUGUUGGUGGGGUAGUGGCUUACCAAGGCUUUGACGGGUAGCCGGCCUGAGAGGGUGACCGGCCACAUUGGGACUGAGAUACGGCCCAGACUCCUACGGGAGGCAGCAGUGGGGAGUAUUGCACAAUGGGCGGAAGCCUGAUGCAGCAGCGCCGCGUGCGGGAUGACGGCCUUCGGGUUGUAAACCGCUUUCGCCUGUGACGAAGCGUGAGUGACGGUAAUGGGUAAAGAAGCACCGGCUAACUACGUG
rnacentral:rRNA from 1 species